rnacentral:tRNA from 1 species
AAGAAAAGUUAUGAAACACAGAGACUGCUAAUUAUCUGGUUCUAAAGUUAAAAUCUUUAGUUUUCUUA